GUAGGUGGCAAGCGUCGUCCGGAAUUAUUGGGCGUAAAGCGCGCGCAGGCGGGGUCCUUUAAGUCUGAUGUGAAAGCCCACGGGCUCAACCGUGGAGGGUCAUUGGAAACUGGGGGACUUGAGUACAGAAGAGGAAAGCGGAAUUCCAAGUGUAGCGGUGAAAUGCGUAGAGAUUUGGAGGAACACCAGUGGCGAAGGCGGCUUUCUGGUCUGUAACUGACGCUGAGGCGCGAAAGCGUGGGGAGCAAACAGGAGUAGAUACCCUGGUAGUCCACGCCGUAAACGAUGAGUGCUAAGUGUUAGGGGGUUUCCGCCCCUUAGUGCUGCAGCUAACGCAUUAAGCACUCCGCCUGGGGAGUACGGCCGCAAAGGCUG
rnacentral:rRNA from 1 species